ensembl:snRNA U5 U5 spliceosomal RNA
GCUUUUUGGCUUCUCUUCAUAACGCACAAGUCUUUCGCUUUUUACUAAAGACUUCCAUGGAGAGCGAUGCUAAGCGAGUUGUGCGUAUUUUUGGGGGGCUCUACCGCCUGGCCGGGCCA